CCUUUUGCUAAGCAGAAGGAUUCAAAUGCAGCUGGGACCACUACUUGAUCACCUUAAGAGAGGGAGGGCUGGCAGGGCGUUAGGUCAGGUUUUGUAAGGCUGGGAAGAAGUACAGGAGUAAGGCUGAUGCACUUGUACAGCUGCCUUUCCUGUUUUGCCUGAUGAACAUCACACUGUUCAGGGCAUUCAAAGCCCUUCAUAAAGCAGACAGAUCCCACCAGUGGCCUCACAUCCUUUUAGGACCAGACAAGGACUGCGUAAGAUGUCAGUACUUCAAUGCACUGGUUGUGGCCCAAGAUUCAUUCCUGCCAGUACUGGUGAUCUGGGUAAGGCUUUUGCCAGUGGCAACCAAGAUGAAAAAGCUAUUUGUGGAAAUGAGAGAGACAAGAUGAUGUGGAAGAGGGAAAUACAACAACCAGGGCAUAAUCUAAUUCCACAAGAAUGAAUUCUACUUUCA